rnacentral:rRNA from 1 species
GCAUGCCUUACACAUGCAAGUCGAACGGCAGCAUGAUCUAGCUUGCUAGAUUGAUGGCGAGUGGCGAACGGGUGAGUAAUACAUCGGAACGUGCCCUGUAGUGGGGGAUAACUAGUCGAAAGAUUAGCUAAUACCGCAUACGACCUGAGGGUGAAAGUGGGGGACCGCAAGGCCUCAUGCUAUAGGAGCGGCCGAUGUCUGAUUAGCUAGUUGGUGGGGUAAAGGCCCACCAAGGCGACGAUCAGUAGCUGGUCUGAGAGGACGAUCAGCCACACUGGGACUGAGACACGGCCCAGACUCCUACGGGAGGCAGCAGUGGGGAAUUUUGGACAAUGGGCGAAAGCCUGAU